ensembl:lncRNA
AGAUCUCAUUUAAGGGUUGGCAAUGGAAGUAAGGAUAUCUUGUUGGAAGUAUCUGUGUACCUCAAGUCUUCUGAAGGAUCCAAUGGCAAACUGCUACAGAGGACAACAGAGCACAGGAGAGCUGGUUGAACAUCCUUGGAGAAUAAAAGCAGUCCUUUUUGAUACGCAGGAAGGUGAGCAAGUGUAGGAAAAGGUCAAUAUGGAUCAACAACAGGGAAAUCCUGAAUGAGCUCAAACCACCAGAAGCGCAUGAAGGAGGAGGAAUGGAUGUCCUAGGAGGAAUGUAGAGGCAGUACCCAAACAUACAAGGAUGGAGCUGAGAAAGCCAAGGCUUGCCUGGAGUGGAGACUCGCAAGAAUGUGAAAGGCAAAAUGAAGGACUUCUGUAAGCACAUCAGCAACAAAAGGAAGGCGGGGGAAAUGAUUUCUGUGGAGUUUCAGCACAUAAAUCCCAGCACA